AAGUACUUCGCUGUCAGACUUCGGUGUACAUGUGUACUUCAUGUUGAAGAAAAAACUCCUGUCCACACAAUCAGUUUGACAACACAUCAACAUUCACACCUAACACAAGACUCCACUACUCUACAACUUGAACUGAUUCCACAACAUCACACACCCACAAUUUGUUUUCAUUCUGCUGGGAGUGUUUUGCUCAGUGCUUUUUCUUGGCAGUACUUUGGCAUUUAUAUCGCUGGAGAUGUAUA